GAAUAUUGGACAAUGGGCGAAAGCCUGAUCCAGCCAUGCCGCGUGUGUGAAGAAGGUCUUCGGAUUGUAAAGCACUUUAAGUUGGGAGGAAGGGCAGUAAGCGAAUACCUUGCUGUUUUGACGUUACCGACGGAAACACAACAGGCAAACUCUGGCGCAGCAGCCGCGGUAAUACAGCGGGUGCAAGCGUUAAUCGGAAUUACUGGGCGUAAAGCGCGCGUAGGUGGUUCGUUAAGUUGGAUGUGAAAUCCCCGGGCUCAACCUGGGAACUGCAUCCAAAACUGGCGAGCUAGAGUAGGGCAGAGGGUGGUGGAAUUUCCUGUGUAGCGGUGAAAUGCGUAGAUAUAGGAAGGAACACCAGUGGCGAAGGCGACCACCUGGGCUCAUACUGACACUGAGGUGCGAAAGCGUGGGGAGCAAACAGG
rnacentral:rRNA from 1 species